UACGAGGGGGGCGAGCGUUGUUCGGAAUUAUUGGGCGUAAAGGGCGCGUAGGCGGUGCGGUAAGUCACCUGUGAAACCUCUGGGCUUAACUCAGAGCCUGCAGGCGAAACUGCCGCGCUGGAGUGUGGGAGAGGUGCGUGGAAUUCCCGGUGUAGCGGUGAAAUGCGUAGAGAUCGGGAGGAACACCCGUGGCUAAGGCGGCUCUCUAGUACGGUACUGACGCUGAGACGCGAAAGCGUGGGGAGCGAACAGG
rnacentral:rRNA from 1 species